ACUUUGCUUACAUACCUAGCUAACACACCUGGCCUUACCCACCUAGGCUUAAUUUCCUGUCACUACCCACCUGUCCUUAUGUCCCUGGCCUUCCCAUGUGGCAGUAACCUCAUGGCCUGAACUCCUGGCCAUGGCUUCCUGGCCUUACACUCAUGGCCUCACCCUGACGGCAUUUCUCCCUGUACCUACCCCAUGCCUUACUUAACUGAACUUACACACCUCACCUUAUUAACCUCCUGGCCAUACUGACCUAUUUUUAAUCUACUGGCCUUCCACACAUUGCUUAUACCUCUGGCCUGCCCUCUUGGCUUAUCCACUUGGGCUCAAUCUCCUAGCCUUGUGGUCCUGUCCUGACCCUGUAGCAUUAGCCCCUAGGGUUAUCCCUUGGACAUUAUUAUCUGGACGUGGGCUACUGGACUUAGCUUGACGUUUUAACCUCCUUACCUUAACUGUCUGACCCACCUGGUGUUAGCCUAUUGGCUGUUGUCAGUUGACUUACCCACCUGGUCUUAAUUUUCUGGCCUUAUCCUGCUGGCCUUAGCCAGCUGGUGUUUAAUUUCUUACUUUUAUGCUCCUGGAUUUAAAUUCUGGUUUUACUCACCUGGCUUACCCACAUGGCCUUACGUAUGUGGCUUGACCACCUGGUGUUACCAGCCAGGCCUUAUCUGUGAGCCCAUACUCACCUUGCUUUAAUCUCAUGUUCGUACUCUGUGACCUUACCCAUCUUACCCAUCUUGGCCUUACCCAUCUUGCAUUACCCAACUUACUUUAUGCCCCUGGCCUUCCCUAACCCCACCAGCCUUAUCUACUUGACCAGUUGCUACUGGCCUUGAUGUCAUGUCUGUACAAAUGAGGAUCACCCUCCUAGAUUUCCCAAGUAGUCUAACCCGUCAUGCCUUAACCGCUGGCCUUCAUGCCUGGCCAUAACAUUCUAGUGUUACCCACCUGGAUUCAUCUCCCUGCCCAUAACUACAUGGCUAUAAUGUCAUGUGCUGCCGCCCUGGCCAUCCCCCGUAGCCCUUAACCCAUGGUGCUUAUCAUUCUUGGUGUAGGCCUCUGGCAUUCCCCUAUCCUUACCCACCCAGCAGCCUUACUUUCCUGGCCUUAACUAACUGGCCUUACCCACCUGCCCAUACCCACUUGGUCGUACCCACUUGGCCUUAGCUCCUUUGCCUUCUCUUCUUACCCUUACCUUACCUGGCCCACCUCCAGACCUUUACAGCCUGGCCUUGAACGCCCAGCAUUAAUCUCAUGGCCUGUGCCCUUUGCCUUAGCCUCCUGGCUUUGCACACCUGACCCUAACCUCUUGUCCUUAAAUAACCAGAUGUAAAUUACCUAGUGUUACUUAGCUGGUCUUAACCUCACGGCCUUACCCACCUUGUCUACCAAUCUGGCUGUAAUUCUUUGGCCUUGUCCCCUUUGCCUACACCCCUGGCCUCCC
rnacentral:lncRNA from 1 species